CGUAAACACCGGCCGGUUAUUAGGAGCCGGAAGUUUAAGGGGAGUUCGCUAAAUUGGUAUGCCGAUGGUUCCCGGAUGGAUGUUCCGGUUGUUAGAAGCGGGCAGAACUUCGAAUAAACUUUCGCCUCGUAAUAGAGCAACUUUCGGCUGGAUUUCUUUUUCGGCGGGCAAAACUUAGUUUCGUACGUUGAUGGAUUGGUGACUUUAACAGACGUGAUAGAAACGUUGGCGUGAUAGAUUGACGCGUUGGUAGGUGGUAUUAGUGCUUCUUAACUGUUACGAGCAACUGGUACGGCAGACGCGGAGAAAAAUUGCCGCAGUUAGUUCAAAGAUAUUCAUUCCGUUAAGCGGACGUGUUUGUCAUUCGAAGUGAUUUUCAUGGCAAGUGCAUGGGAACUGUAUAUAGCGUUCUGAUUCCAGCUGGUUAAUCGUAUCGUUAGAAUCCUCAACUUCGUUGUAGGAAAACCAUAUUCGUUUUAUAAAUUUAACGCUCUAUCGAAUUUAUUUUCAAUUCCACCUCGGAAUGAAGAAGAAUAUGUAAAGAUUGCACGAGUAUUAUUACGUCGAAUACGGUAAAACCAACAAGAAUGAAGAAAUUGACGGAAAAUUGAACAAACGAUUAAACACCAAAGGACACAUUGUAUGUCGGCGGAUCAGUGGAAUGCAAAUUCCCUAGGAACACUGAUAAAACAUAAUGCAAUUGUAUAGAGGGCGGUGUGCAAGCCGAAAUCAACGUAAAUUGUUUGAGGAUAUCAACGCACCAAUUGUAGCUGGUUCGUGGCUCAUGAUCGAUCCGCGGUAUUGACUAUUGGCGCAACUGGUAACUAGCCAAUCUGCUGCGUCGGUCAGACAUCUGAUUACGAACAGUAAUUAGCGGUGGAUCGGUAUACCUGUGUUGACUGUCACUGUACGAGUAAACUUUGUUCCCUCCCCCACCCUCCUUCCCCGUAACGCAUAAAUACGAACGACGCGAUCGAACUUUAGAAACGCGAAGCUUUCGUUCCCGUUUCCACGUAUAGGGUGGACCGAAAAUCCUGCUACAAGCCGUGAAGUGAUUAUUCAUGAAAAAGUAAGUGAAAAGCGUAGAACAAGAAUUUUUGAUACGAGACUUCGUUUUCGAGAAAAUCGACGAUGAAGUUUAGUCGGGUGCGUGUGCGCUUGAAACGUAAGAGCGCCAAGCGCAUGAAACUUGAUAGUUGAUUUUCUCGAGAACGAAGCGUCGUAUUGAAAAUUGUUGUUCUACGUUUUCGAUCUACUUUUGCGCGGAGAAUCACCAUCCUUCGGUUUGUACCACGAUUUUCAGUGCACCCAGUACAUCGCCGACCGUCGAUACGACGACGAGCGCGAACGUGAUUAACGUAGCGAAAUUCCAACAUGGAAAUCGUGUGUUUUAAACAUUCGUGCGUACGAGCGAUCGUAAAGAUGACAGCGAUUUGCCGACUACGUGGAAACGCUCUCGUCAAUUUAUUCGUUUCACGUUCUUCCGCGAUCCAGGUAUUUCACGGUUCUAACCUAUAAUAUAAUUCAAGUCAUUUCUCUUAAUUGGAGGUUAAGCGAUAUCGACGAGGCCAAGGGGUUUCAGUUUCCCGCGAAUUCUUCGUUGUAUCUUUCCACGUUGCCAGCCGGAAUGAAUUGACUUUUUUACGAGCCCAAAGCCGUUUACGUUCGAAUCCGAUUGGAAUUUACAUUUUCGAUCUCUCGAAGGCUUAUCGUAAAACGACUUUGAAACAUGAAAAUGAUUUCGGCGGUGCUCUUCGAGAAAAGUAGCUUCUCUCGUCUAAAGGGAAUACCUGACUUGUUAUCGAUAAGUUGUUAACGGACAUUUAUGCAAAUUCACGUAUUUAUAAAAUAAUGGAGCAACGGUACCUAAGCAAAAAUUUCUUUUGUUUACCAAAUAUUACAAUCGGUGAUAAAUUUUGCAUAUUUUAUAUAUUUGCACGUAUUACGCGCGUUUCGUGCGUCUUCGAAUUUUGAAACUUUUCAUAGACGCAAAAUUGAACGUCCCUCGUUGGGAGAACAGAAUUUCUCUUUUCGAAUCUUCGCCAAUUUUUCGCGCGACAGCGUCCAAUUGGCGCGCACGCGCGUUACGUCAUCGUUAAUCCGGCGGCAGAUUUUUUAACCCAUUUUCUCUCCGCUUUCCCGUUUCCCUCGGCAACGUUGUACCAACUGGAAUUGAGAAAUAACGAUCUCGACGGUUGUAUGCAAAUAUCGGAAAAUAAAGUGCAUUUCGUACUCGUAACCGGUUCCAAGCGCGAAGCUUAUAUGGAACGGCGGAAACAUUAUCGUAUCGCGAUUUUUCUCCAUCGAGAAAAGUACGCGAUAGUUUGCAACGGCGAUAUUAAUAAUAAACGUUAUUGAAUGUAAAAUGAACGAUAUAGUUCACGAGCGAAAUAGAUUGUUAUCGGUUAUUCAGACUACGAUGAAUAUUAUGAAUUUCAGGGAAUUUUAAGCUCUUUAUCUUUUUCGCCUAUCGGUAGAAGACAGUACGCGCAUACGCAAUGAAGCCAAUUAUACGCACAUUUUAAAACGCUUAACCUGUUAACGAACGGGUAGAACGAGUUAAUUUGUGUUAUUUGGCUUGUUAAAUAUCGCGAAAUUGAUAAUUUGUUUAUCCAACGAUUGGCUGUUUUUAAUACCCCAUUACGUUUCUACUGUGUGUACAUUACACGUAUCAUAUUAUUAAUAAAUCGUAUUAAUUCAUU